rnacentral:rRNA from 1 species
UACGAAGGUGGCAAGCGUUACUCGGAAUUACUAGGCGUAAAGGGCAGGUAGGUGGUCUGAUAAGUCUGUUGUGUAAGCUCCCGGCUUAACUGGGAGAGGUCAACAGAUACUGUCAGGCUUGAGUAUAGGAGAGGUUACUGGAAUUCCCGGUGUAGCGGUGAAAUGCGCAGAUAUCGGGAGGAACACCAAUGGCGAAAGCAGGUAACUGGACUAUUACUGACACUCAGCUGCGAAAGCUAGGGGAGCAAACAGG